AUUGAACGCUGGCGGUAGGCCUAACACAUGCAAGUCGAGCGCGAAAGUCCUUCGGGAUGAGUAGAGUGGCGGACGGAUGAGUAACGCGUAGGAAUCUAUCCUGUAGUGGGGGAUAACGUUUCGAAAGGAACGCUAAUACCGCAUACGCCCCAAGGGGGAAAGCGGGGGAUCUUCGGACCUCGUGCUAUAGGAGGAGCCUGCGUCGGAUUAGCUAGUUGGUGAGGUAAAGGCUCACCAAGGCGACGAUCCGUAGCUGGUCUGAGAGGAUGAUCAGCCACACCGGAACUGAGACACGGUCCGGACUCCUACGGGAGGCAGAAGUGGGGAAUAUUGCGCAAUGGGCGAAAGCCUGACGCAGCCAUACCGCGUGUGUGAAGAAGGCCUUCGGGUUGCAAAGCACUUUCAGUGGGGAGGAAAAGCUGGUGGCUAAUAUCCAUCGGCCGUGACGCUACCCACAGAAGAAGCACCGGCUAAUUCCGUGCCAGCCGCCGCCGUAACAC
rnacentral:rRNA from 1 species